GUGUCAGCCGCCGCGGUAAGACGUAGGGGGCCAGCGUUGCUCGGAAUUACUGGGUGUAAAGGGUUCGUAGGCGGUGUGGCAAGUUGGGAGUGAAAUCUCUGGGCUCAACCCAGAGGCUGCUUCCAAAACUGCUAUGCUUGAGUGUGAGAGAGGCUCGUGGAAUUGCAGGUGUAGCGGUGAAAUGCGUAGAUAUCUGCAGGAACACCCGUGGCGAAAGCGGCGCGCUGGACCACUACUGACGCUGAGGAACGAAAGCUAGGGGAGCAAACAGGAUUAGAUACCCCAGUAGUCC
rnacentral:rRNA from 1 species